AAGUCGAACGAAGCACUUUAUUUGAUUUCCUUCGGGACUGAUUAUUUUGUGACUGAGUGGCGGACGGGUGAGUAACGCGUGGGUAACCUGCCUUGUACAGGGGGAUAACAGUUGGAAACGGCUGCUAAUACCGCAUAAGCGCACAGCAUCGCAUGAUGCAGUGUGAAAAACUCCGGUGGUAUAAGAUGGACCCGCGUUGGAUUAGCUAGUUGGUGAGGUAACGGCCCACCAAGGCGACGAUCCAUAGCCGACCUGAGAGGGUGACCGGCCACAUUGGGACUGAGACACGGCCCAAACUCCUACGGGAGGCAGCAGUGGGGAAUAUUGCACAAUGGGCGAAAGCCUGAUGCAGCGACGCCGCGUGAGCGAAGAAGUAUUUCGGUAUGUAAAGCUCUAUCAGCAGGGAAGAUAAUGACGGUACCUGACUAAGAAGCACCGGCUAAAUACGUGCCAGCAGCCGCGGUAAUACGUAUGGUGCAAGCGUUAUCCGGAUUUACUGGGUGUAAAGGGAGCGCAGGCGGUGCGGCAAGUCUGAUGUGAAAGCCCGGGGCUCAACCCCGGUACUGCAUUGGAAACUGUCGUACUAGAGUGUCGGAGGGGUAAGCGGAAUUCCUAGUGUAGCGGUGAAAUGCGUAGAUAUUAGGAGGAACACCAGUGGCGAAGGC
rnacentral:rRNA from 1 species